AUGCCCCCUCUGCGACGGCCAGUGGGCGGUCCUCCUCCCUCUUACGGACCAAAUGAAGAAGUGUUUUCUAUUGAAAUCAAUUAUGGUGGGCUGUUUUGUGGAUUUGGGUCGAACAAGUCUUAUAUUGAUGGGCAAAUCGAGUAUUUUGAUGGAUGUGAAGUUGAGACAUGGUCUUCACUUUGGAUCAAUGACUUUCUGCUGCAGCUAGGAUAUGAUAUGGCCCAGUGUAAUGUUUAUUGGCUACUCGCUGGUAUGAAUUUGGAUACAGGACUGCGAAUUGUAGACUGGGAUACAGACACACUUAGCAUGUCUGUUGUUGUUCCGAAGUUUCAGCAUUUUCAGCUAUAUGUUGAUCACAAAGAAUUAACUGGUAACAUAGGCUUUGAUGAUGUGUGCAUCACUGGAUCUACAGAGCUUCCACCAGUGCUUAGUGCAACAAAGCAUGGUGUUAAUUUGCAUAUCAGGAAUAGUCCUAGACUAAAGACCAAAGCUGUGAAGGGCAAGCUAAAUGAAGCACAUGUGGGCAGCAGCAGUGGGACAAGGGCUGAGAUAGAUGUACAAAAGGAGAGAACAAAUAAGAGAAGAGAAAGAGUGGAAGUGCAUGGGCAAGAAACUGAUGACAGUAGUAGUGGCUCAGAGUGGGUUGACUCUGACAAUGAAGUUCAGAAGGAUGAUGAUGAUCUGUUUGUAGAAUGGGUUGAUGACAAGCAUGAGAAGAAAAAUAAGAGGAAAUCAGAGUGGAUUGAUGAUAAUGACUAUGAUUCAAAAGAAUUGGUUGAACUCAAAGAUUCAGAUGUUGAGGAUGUUAAAUCUGAAGAAGAUCGAAGUUGA
rnacentral:rRNA from 1 species